CUGAUAUCGAGGCUAAACCUAUUCCUGUCACUCCCUUCUUAUCAAAAUCUCAAAACACUUGUGGAGUAGAGGCUGCGUGCUAGGGGCAGCAGUGUGUGGCGAUUCACCGUGUUGCUUCGACAUUUGAAGUCGACGACGACCUUACAUUCAAAGAGGUCUGCUUUGUCUACACUCCAUUUGAAGUCGUCAAUCCCCAAUUCCUAAUUUUUAAGAGAGCCUUAGAUUAUAAAAUUACAUAGCUUUCUUAUGGAUACUCAACUAAGAAGGCCCAUGAUACUCAAUGUUAAGGUAAACUAUCUUACAUCUUGCUUUUUAGUACAAUUGGAUUUGAUUUUUAAUCAACACAGCUCAAAUGAAAGGAAAACUCGUAGAAUAUGGUGAUCUCAGCUGAAAUCUUGGUUUGGUGUCCUAACUGUUUUGACAUGUUAGUAACUAAGUUGAAUUUGACACUUCUGAUAAAAUAUCAAAAACCCUUUUUACGUUUGUAUUACAACUACGUCGCGUGGCGUUAAACCGCAAAAAAAAAUCAACUUCUAUGAAACUUGAUGCAAAAAAAGCAUCGCACAUGUGCCUGAUAUACAGUAUAUGUGUAUGCGUUUGUUUUAUACUUAAUAAAAAAUGCGCUAGCAUGCAUAUAUGUCUGGAAAAUGUCUGUAUAGUUAUAGUAUAAACUUCUUUUUUCUCACCCUUAAGACAUUAGCCUAUCAUGCAUUAAUGCAGAUGUAUGCAUUUUUACUCAUUCUAUUUUUUAAUAAAAAUAUAACAGGGGUGGGCUAUUAUGCAACUCAUGGCUAAAGUAGAGGCUUGCACAUUUAACAUUGUGGGGUUUGACUUAAAAUAUGGUCAAAUAAAUAGUGAGAAUUCCAAAACUACUUAUGUGGAAAUUGGUAUGAUCAUAAAGAAUUCAAUUAUAACUUGCAAAGGGGUGGGCUAUUAUGCAUAUCAUGGCUAAAGUAGAGGUUUACACAUUUAACAUUGUGGGUUUGACUUAAAAUAUAGUCAGAUAAACAAUGAGAAUUCCAAAACGACUAAUGUGAAAUAUGGUCUGGGUGUUCGUGCUGCUGAUGUUUGGGGUGUAAUACCAAGUCGUUCGGCAUGUCAUAGAGAAAACAUUCAAUUGAAGUCUCAAUGUGAAGAACUUACUAGUACUGUGGUCCAGUUACGAGCCCAAGUAUCAGAGAUGGAAGGGUCGAGGGGUGGUUCGAGUGUUCAACCUCUUGUAUCACAACGUUUCCCCAAUGUAAACAAUGGAUAUCAACGUUUACGGGUCGGAGAUAAAGUUUUCCUCAAAAGCAUUCUAAACUCUACCGAGGUUGUAGCAAGAUGAAGGGUCCAGAGCUUGGACCCGAAUGAUCUAGUUGGUGGUACAGAGAUUAGACCAGAAUAGUGUGAGGUAAACGUUCAAGUACCAAUAAAAAAGAUGAAAACUUGGUAAGACCAUAUGGUUUAUUUUCUACAAUUCAAGAUUAUAUUGGUGCAUCCAUCUCAUGGCCCUAUCCAUUCAUAUCGGUAGUCCAUGAGGAUUGAGGACACACGAUGACUCAGGAUUUUUCUUCUUAUUUCUUUAAUUGCUUUUAAUUUCUUUGUUAAAUGUUAAGACUUUAUGUUAGAUAAUGUUAUAACUUACUUAUGGUUAGUGUUUUUGUUAUAAAUAUGCUUAUUUGAAAAAUAA